CCCUUAGAUGUUCUGGGCUGCACGCGCGCUACACUGACGCACGCAACAGGUGCCUGCUCCGAGAGGACUGGGUAAUCAUUUGAGUGUGCGUCGUGAUGGGGAUAGAAUAUUGUAAUUAUUACUCUUCAACGAGGAAUUCCUAGUAAGCGCCAGUCAGCAGCUUGCGCUGAUUACGUCCCUGCCCUUUGUACACACCGCCCGUCGCUCCUACCGAUGGGUGAUCCGAUGAAUGAUUCGGACUUCAGCGGCUCCCCUGGGGUGCGCCGGAGAAAGUUUUGUGAACCUUAUCACUUGGAGGAGGGAGAAGUCGUAACA
rnacentral:rRNA from 1 species